UUAUUCAUAAGCUAUAAGUUAUUAAAAUUGGGAAACUUUCUGACUUUCAAUCGUUCAUCCCUAAAAUGUGUUCUUCCAAACCCUAACUGAAGAAUAUUUUUGUCUUCAAUCCUUUUUCUUCAUCUUGGCUUGUCUUCAACAUUCAUUUUCUUCUUUAAUCGUUUUAGUCCCAUCCUGCAUAGAUUUCGUCUUCAAUCGAUUUCAUCUCCGUCUUCAAUCAGAUGAGGAGUAUAAGUGGUGUAGGCGGAGAGCCAUUCGGCGGCGGGAUAAGAGAUCUGAGACGAUUUUCAUUUGAGAUUUUCCCGAAUCUUCAGUACUACACGAUCCUGGAUUCUUGAAGAGUAUGAGUAAAUUCUGAUAAGAGUUGUGUGCUUUUGAAAUUAUAAAAUAUUUGCAGGAAAAUACUGAUUUGAGUUCAUUCACCUGUGGUUCAAAUUAAAACUUCCAAUUUGAAAGAAUGAGAGAAUAACUAGUUAUUUUGAUGCUUUAAAGAA